rnacentral:rRNA from 1 species
UGGAUUAAUACCUNAUAGUAUUAUGAUUUGGCAUCAUUUCAUAAUUAAAACUCCGGUGGUUAAAGAUGAGCAUGCGUCCUAUUAGCUAGUUGGUAAGGUAACUGCUUACCAAGGCUACGAUAGGUAGGGGGCCUGAGAGGGUGAUCCCCCACACUGGUACUGAGACACGGACCAGACUCCUACGGGAGGCAGCAGUGAGGAAUAUUGCGCAAUGGAGGAAACUCUGACGCAGCCAUGCCGCGUGCUAGGAAGACGGCCCUACGGGUUGUAAACUGCUUUUCUGCAAGAAGAAAUACUAAUACGUGUAUUGGUUUGACGGUACUGCAGGAA